rnacentral:miRNA from 1 species
AAUUCAUACUACGAAAUUUGCAAUUGCACCACUAAAUCCAUAGUAUAUCCAUCCUAUGAUGGAUAUACUAUGGAUUUAGUGGUGCAAUUGCAAAUUUCGUAGUAUGAAUUUCACUUUUUU